AAUAUUGGACAAUGGGGGCAACCCUGAUCCAGCCAUGCCGCGUGUGUGAAGAAGGUCUUCGGAUUGUAAAGCACUUUAAGUUGGGAGGAAGGGCUUUAGGUUAAUACCCUGAAGUUUUGACGUUACCAACAGAAUAAGCACCGGCUAACUCUGUGCCAGCAGCCGCGGUAAUACAGAGGGUGCAAUCGUUAAUCGGAAUUACUGGGCGUAAAGCGCGCGUAAGUUGUUCAGGAAAGUGGGUUUGAAAACCCCGGGCUUAACCUGGGGACUGCCUUCAUAACUGCUGGGCUAGAGUACGGUAGAAGGUAGUGGAAUUUCCUGUGUAGCGGUGAAAUGCGUAGAUAUAAGAAGGAACACCAGUGGCGAAAGCGACUACCUGGAAUGAUACUGACACUGAGGUGCGAAAGCGUGGGGAGCAAAC
rnacentral:rRNA from 1 species